AGAGUUUGAUCCUGGCUCAGGACGAACGCUGGCGGCGUGCCCAACACAUGCAAGUCGAGCGGAGACAGUGAGUAGCUUGCUAUGAGCUGUUUUAGCGGCGGACGGGAGAGUAACGCGUGAGCAACCUUUCCCAGACAGGGGAAUAACACACCGAAAGGUGUACUAAUACCGCAUAAGACCACGGUUUCACAUGGAACUGGGGUAAAAGAUUUAUCGGUUUGGGGUGGGCUCGCGUCCGAUUAGGUAGUUGGUGAGGUAACGGCCCACCAAGCCGACGAUCGGUAGCCGACCUGAGAGGGUGAUCGGCCACAUUGGGACUGAGACACGGCCCAAACUCCUACGGGAGGCAGCAGUGGGGAAUAUUGCACAAUGGGGGAAACCCUGAUGCAGCAACGCCGCGUGAAGGAAGACGGUCUUCGGAUUGUAAACUUUUGUUCUUGGUGAAGAAAAAUGACGGUAGCCAAGGAGGAAGCCACGGCUAACUACGUGCCAGCAGCCGCGGUAAUACGUAGGUGGCAAGCGUUGUCCGGAAUUACUGGGUGUAAAGGGAGCGCAGGCGGGAAAUCAAGUUGGAUGUGAAAUGUCGGGGCUUAACCCCGGAACUGCAUCCAAAACUGAUAUUCUUGAGUGAAGUAGAGGUAGGCGGAAUUCCGAGUGUAGCGGUGAAAUGCGUAGAUAUUCGGAGGAACACCAGUGGCGAAGGCGGCCUACUGGGCUUUAACUGACGCUGAGGCUCGAAAGUGUGGGGAGCAAACAGGAUUAGAUACCCUGGUAGUCCACACUGUAAACGAUGAUUGCUGGGUGUGGGGGGGUCUGACCCCCUCCGUGCCCGAAUUAACGCAAUAAG
rnacentral:rRNA from 1 species